CGUCUCUCUCACGCAGCCGCUCAAACGCGGUCAUUUCUAUGUGAACCUGUUCAGUCGGUUGUGCUGACGUUAACGGGCCACAAGGAAACUUGGAGAACAAGUCCAUGCUCAAAAAAGUCAGUGCGGAUUGCAGGUUCUUAAUGGGUUAACAGUGGAAGGCCUCACCUCACCUUUCGUGCGCGUCACUCGGCUCUGUAAAGUGGCCCCACCAUCCCAGCUUCCAAAGGGAAAAACCAUCGCCUCCCACCACCGUCAGACGCGCCUCCUCGCCUCGGUCGGUCUCACAUCAUCCUGUCGGUCUCCGCCCCGCCGCUCCAUCACCACGCACAUCCUGAAAACAGCGGAGCCGAGGAAAUAAGAGUGGUUUACCGGCAAAAGAGGGAACCAUGAAGGACCGCAUGCAAGAACUUAGACAUGGGAAGGAGACGACAGAGGAGGAGGAUGAAGUCGCUGUGGGAAUGGACAAAGGCUUUAUGGAUGAAUUCUUUGAACAGGUGGAAGAGAUUCGAGGUUUUAUCGAGUCUCUGGCAGAGAAAGUUGAAGAGGUGAAGAGGAAGCACAGCGCCAUCCUGGCCUCACCUAACCCAGAUGAAAAAACAAAGGCUGAGCUGGAGGAUCUUAUGGCAGAUAUCAAGAAGUUGGCCAACAAAGUGCGCUCCAAGUUAAAGAGUAUCCAGCAAACCAUCGAGCAAGAAGAAGGGCAGAACAGGUCAUCAGCUGACCUGAGGAUACGUAAAACACAGCACUCUACACUGUCCCGCAAGUUUGUUGAGGUGAUGUCAGAAUACAACACCACCCAGUCGGACUACAGGGAGCGCUGCAAGGGACGCAUUCAGAGACAGCUGGAGAUUACUGGGAGAAACACAACAAAUGAGGAGCUGGAGAGCAUGUUGGAGAGUGACAACCCAGCUAUCUUUACCUCGGGGAUCAUUAUGGACAACAUCACGCAGCAAGCUAUGAAUGAGAUCGAGACACGGCACAACGAGAUUAUCAAGCUGGAAAACAGCAUCAGGGAGCUUCAUGACAUGUUCAUGGACAUGGCCAUGCUGGUGGAGAGCCAGCAAGGGUGAGCUGGUGAACAAUAUUGAGCAUAGUGUGCUGGAGGCUCAGGAAUAUGUGGAACAGGCAAAGGAGAGCAUCCCAAAAUGCAAGAAGUUCAAAAAGAUGAGCAGACGGAAGAUGAUCCUGAUAGGAGGUUGUAUUGCCAUAUGUCUGACCAUCCUCAUUAUUUGCCUCGCAGCUGGACUCAGUUAGGACUCUAAGAAAUCCCCCAAUAGCAGACAGGGCAAAAUGUGUCCUAUCAGGGCCGUACGACAGCCAAAGAGUCACACUACUAACUGUUCAUCUCUUAAUCAAAAUGCACUGAUUAUUGAGCUCUAUAACAUACAGUUAGUGGCUGCUCAUGUACGUUACAUACGUUACAGGUCUCAUAGCAGUCCAGUAUCUCUCUGUGCACAUUAAUAUUGUACACUUACUUUUAGGUGCAUUUUAAUGUUGGCUUUUCAUGAAGUAGUCAGCCAAGGACCUUGAUGACCUGCUUGUGCUUUGUGGCUGUUUGUGAGUUGAUUCAAAUAACCUUUGUCAUGCAAACAACAUCAGGGUCUGAUUCAGCUGUACAGUAAAGUACUGAUGAAUCGGUGAGAACCCUGAUGUUGUUUGUAGCAUUAAAGGAAUAGUUCAACAUUUGGGAAAUAUGAAAAAAUUAAUAAAAGCUGAUGUGUGAAAAGAUCACACUAGUGACAAUCCUCCAGGAAGUCACUUUGCCCAACUAUGAACUAGUCCAGCAUGUAAACCCCAUGCAUGUGGUAUAAGUACUGGAUAUCGUACUCCAACAUGCGGCCUACUCACUUGGAUAAAAAUUGUUCACCAAGUGCAUAAACCUAAAAAGCAUCAAGAUUUGUUUUGGAUGAUGUCACAUAAAAAUAACUUUAGUAGACUCUGGGACUGUUUUCCAACAUUUCAUCUUCAUGGGUUAAAAAAUCAUCAUACAAAGAGAAAUAGCUGUUUGCAGUUGUGGUGUUGUAUCAACAGAUUUACAGAUGCUGAUUUAACGUUGGUCUAAGGGGAGAAUGCUUUUUGGGCUGGACACUUUGCUGCAGCGAGACAAAUUGGCCACGAGGUUGAGUGGUGCGGCCGUAGCCAGCUCUCAAAAAAUUCGCUGUAAAAACACACAGCAUUGUUUUUACACUUAGGUUUUUCCACAGAUUAAAUAAGAUGCAGCGUUUUAAUUAGUGAACUUUAGAGGUGCUGAGAAUCCGACUUUGUUACCGUUGGACAGAGCCAGGCUUCUCCCCCCUACUUUCACUCCUGCUUUGUUUGUGCAAGCUAACCAGCUGCUGGCUUCAGCUUCUUGAUUAGCAGACAUGAGAGUGGUGCUGAGCCUGUCAUCUAAUUCAACAAAUAACUGUAAUUCCCAAAUUUUUGAACUAUUUCUUUAGGAACUGAUGGAGACUGUUGAUUCCAGAGGCUUUAAAUGUUGCAGAUUAGCAGUUUAUGAAUGCAUGUGGAGGAAUGCAUGCUAAAAAGAUGUGUUUCACAAGUCACGUUUACUUUAAAGUCACUGCGUGGAUUUUUUUUUUUUUUACAUAAAAAUGUAGUUAUUCAAGUGAACAUCAGUGAGGUCUAUGUAUUGCUUCCAUCCAUAGUCUGGUUGCAGUAUAAGUCAUAAACCCUGCCCCUCCAUGUUAGUAGAUGGGACACGAGCCAAAAUAAAAAGUACAAGUCAAAUACAUUUUUCACAAAGGUGAUUUCUGUCAUUGUAGGUAGAUAUUAUUCCACUGCUUUAUGUACAAGCGGUUGACUUUCUGAUAAGUUGAUAAGCUGAUAAGUUAUUUGAUGAUAUAAAAAGGGGUGUAUGUUGGAUGAUUUGACAGCUUUGAUUUGCAGCCUGAUACGGUGGCUCCACCUCUGGCUGCUACUGUGCAGAAUGUGUUUGCAAAAUGCAUCACAAAAGCGAGAUGGCCGCCCCGUAUUCACAGUAUUUUGCCUUCACUUUUUAUACUAGAAGGACGUGGUGACACGUCAUCCAUCUUUAUAUGUAGUUUGUGCUUUCACCUUAUUUCCAGAGGUGGCUAUGUGCAUUUCUGCCUGCCACGUUGUCUCUUUGAUACAACCACCAGAUGGCACCAAAACGUUAGGAUUUCUUUAUUGUACACAUGGUGGCUUUAGAAGAUUGUGGCAUGUGUGGUUAUACUGCAUGUUUAAUGUGGUGAAUGAAACAAAACAGAACAAAAUGCAGGAACCAAAGAUUUAUGGUUUCACAACUAGAGUAUGUGGGAAAAACAUCUAAACCGCAGUCACACUCCAACACCACCACCAUCUUUGUCUAAACUGCACUGCAUCCUGCUCUUCUUCUAAACUGCAUUUUGUUCAGAUUUUUUAUAAAUAUUGUAACAUGUGUUAGACAAAGUACAAGUCAUGUUUCUAACAUGUUCUUCUGUGCUCUCCCUUUGCUGCUGUGGAUGACUUGUUAACAC